rnacentral:rRNA from 1 species
CAGCCGCCGCGGGAAUACGAAGGGUGCAAGCGUUACUUGGAAUUACUGGGCGUAAAGCGUGCGUAGGUGGUGGUUUAAGUCCGUUGUGAAAGCCCUGGGCUCAACCUGGGAAUUGCAGUGGAUACUGGGUCACUAGAGUGUGGUAGAGGAUAGUGGAAUUUCCGGUGUAGCAGUGAAAUGCGUAGAGAUCGGAAGGAACAUCUGUGGCGAAGGCGACUAUCUGGGCCAACACUGACACUGAGGCACGAAAGCGUGGGGAGCAAACAGGAUUAGAUACCCCAGUAGUCCCUGUCUCUUAUAC